rnacentral:lncRNA from 1 species
ACAAAUAUUCCCUCGUGUGAGAAAAAGAUCAAGAGCGGAGCGGAGAAGACCGAAGACCACCAAACCCAACGUGUGCGGGCUCACUUUGUUUAACAGUCGUCCUCCUCUCCCUCCUCCUAUUCCGCUGACAACCGCAGCAACUCCCACCUCCACCGUGGUGGCGCAGUGGCGGCCGGGGAUCGAGACCAACGCGAGAAAAAGUCUGGUGCCGUCCAGCUUCCAGGAUUCUCCACCAGUGAGUCCUUUGCUCCUCCCCUCUUGCUUCCCCGGUAGUUGGUUCUUGCCGGCGCGUGGAGGGGGAUGGGAUUUUUCCAGCUCUCGGGUCAGUUGCUCCGUUGAUUCUUCAGCUGCGGGGAGGUCACCUGGCGGCUCCGCCGGCCGGGCGCCGGUUUUUUCGUUUCUUCCGGUGAGGAACUCCUUUUAAUCAUUCUUGUUUUUGUUGGUUCGGUCUGUUGAUGCUUCGUUAGGAUCAUGCGGUGUUGCUGAUUUUCUUGAUUCCCUCUGCAGUUUUAGGUGACCUGUGACUCAAAUCUUGGCCUGGUCUUCGCUAUCUGAAGACCUGACAUCCCUCAUCAAUUUCAAGUGUGCCUGGAGAGGGGUCUACCAGAUUUUGCAAGAACAAGAUCUUGCAGUUCUUUCCCGCAAAAAANNN